rnacentral:rRNA from 1 species
UACGGAGGAUGCAAGCGUUAUCCGGAAUGAUUGGGCGUAAAGCGUCCGCAGGUGGCAGUUCAAGUCUGCUGUCAAAGACCGGGGCUUAACUUCGGAAAGGCAGUGGAAACUGAACAGCUAGAGUAUGGUAGGGGCAGAGGGAAUUCCUGGUGUAGCGGUGAAAUGCGUAGAGAUGCGGAGGAACACCGAUGGCGAAGGCAGCCCCCUGGGUUAACACUGACGCUCAGGCACGAAAGCGUGGGGAGCAAACAGG